UAAGAAGUAGAAGCCAUUGAGGAUGCUAUGUUAUUUACAAGUGUAGUGAUCUUGACUAAAAGUAUCUUGGGUGAAGAAGAAGAAGAGGAUGAAGCAACUCCUCAAAUUGAGAGACAACGAGUUCAUAUAUAUCCCAUCACAGGCUAUGCUCGGAUUGUGGAGAUAUUACAUCCUAAUACACAUCCUACAAGAGUUGAGAAGGAACAACCUUUGACUCAAGGAUUUUGUGGGAAGCAUAGCAUUGACAAUCUUUGAAAUUCCCUCAUCCUCCAUAAGGAAAGUAUUACCUUGUUGAUCUCUAAUUUUCAAAUGUCCCUGGAUACUUUGCCCCAUUCAAAAAUGUGCAUUACCAUCAAGAAGUUUAUAACCGCAGAAGACCACAAGGGGUUAAAUUAAGAAAUGAUUAAUCAUGCUCUUUCUUCAUUAAAGAAUAUAAUUGAGAGAUGUUUUCAUGUUUCAAAGAAACGCUUUCAAGACGAUGUCUCUAUAUCAGUUAAGGACAUAAGUUGAAAUGGUAAUUGCUUGUAUAGCCAUACACAAUUUUAUUAGGAAACAACAAGCAAAUGAUUGGUUGUUUGAAAAGUAUAAUUGUGAAGACUCAAGUAUCAUUGAUAAUAACUAUAAUAAUGAGGAAAAUAUGAAGGGCAGGGCUUCAGCUUACUGUCCUUAGUUACUACUCAGCAACAACGUGUAUGGGGACAAGUUUGACAAAAUAUUGCUGAUAUGAUGGAACAAGA